rnacentral:lncRNA from 1 species
UGUUUUUUUUUGUUCAACUGAGGUGAGGGCAGUGCUGGCACGGGGCCCGGUGGGAGGUCAGCAUCGCCGCCCGCCCCCCUGCCGUGGGCGUACCGGCGACCACCAGUCGGUCCACGAGGAUGUGCCGCUCAUUCGUGGCCUAGCCUGACGGCUCAGGUGGUUCGGCGCGAGCCUGACGCAACUCUUGAUUUCUAUGCUGCAAGUCAAUGGCUGGCUGCGUCGUUGACAUCAGCUCGCAAUAGGGGAGCAAUUUCACUAUUUUACUAGCACCUUCAAACAGAUAUGCAACUAAAAGUGCUAACUAAAAUUCAAUCAGGCGACAAGACUGGCAUCUUACAGUCAGUUUUUUCAUAGGCAAAAUUCAUGUACAUCGCUAGAAAAAAGAAGCUAAACAAGCAUAUAACCUUUUUUUUACCUACCACUGUCUACAGGUAUAGAAUAUUAUCGCAUGCAUUGUCCACGACAUUCACUGCAACAUGCACUUCUACUAUAGAAUCUAUCUUGUUGCAUCCUAUGCACACCAGUCCAAGAGAUUAUCAUAAUGUACAUACACAUAAUAAUAUCAAACAUAAACAGCAGAUGUCAUAACUCGAAGCACUCCCGAGAUCCCCAGCUCUUCUUGGUCCACAAACAAACGCUUUCAAGUAACACCAGUAGAAGAGUGAUGCAAAAUCCAGUGUGCCAAUGGCAGCUCAUAACAAGGCGCCUUGCAGCAUCCCCACGCCAGCUUCAAAACUGCCUUGUGGCUCCUUUGGGUAGCAGAUGAAGCUGGAAACCUCCAAGGUUUCCCACAAAGAACACAUAGCUACCCGGAGUCUGGUGGCGCACCAGUGCCACACAUUUCCGAUCCCCGCAAAUGAGGGGAGGAAUCGGAAAAGAUAAAUGAAGUAUCCAGGUCCCCGGCCACAAAUGAACAUGUAUGUAUGGUUACAGUUACAGAUCUAAGUUAUACAGUACAAAUCAUACAUCAGUUCAACUUUCAGUUGUAACAGAGAAAAGCAUUGCGCGAGCUCAGCUGUGCCGCGACUUCUUCAGAUGACGAUAUGUUUCCAGCUUCCAUGAGCUGUGCCGCCACUUCUUCGGAUGAGGAUAUAUGUUUGUGAGUUCCAAUCAACUCCCAGCCCAUCUCCUCUUGCGAGCUGGCCGCUCAGGCUUCACUUCAACGUCAGCAGCAGGCGAUUCAUUCUGGGAAGUCUGCACUUCAGCAUCAACCUUUUUGUUCUGGGGUACCUCCUUCUCGCCAGGCAUGGGAAGUUUGAAUCGUUCGCUUCUUCUCUUGAGCCUCUCAACCGUGUCUAGAUGUCGGUCACGCUCUUCAGCCGUCAUCUCAGAGGCUUGCCCAUUAUCACCACUGUUCUUCAUGUCCGAACUGACAACUAUAGCAGGAACAUCAGAUUUACCUGAUGCAUCAGCAGUGGGGGGUUGAACAUCAGCUUCGAUGGAAGGAAAUGCAUGUGUGGUCUCAUUAUCAAUAGUACUAUAGUCAAUCUCUUUGUGGCUUGUCCAUCGCUCCAGCUUAGACCGACCCCUUCUUGAAUCAUCGGUAUUCUCAUCAUCUGACAUGGCUUCUUCUUCCCCUUGUUUCACAAAUGAAUCAUGUUGUUGAGGAUUCUUGCUCGUUUUGGAUGAUGUAGCAUGAUCCCUACCAUUUUGUUGCUCCCUCCCUCCUUUCGCCUCAACCUAUACAAAGUUUUGUUUGCAUUUGGGUUGAGGAGGGUGAAUAUUCCAAAGAGUUAAAACAAAAUCUAAAGACAUAAGCCCACCAAGCAGUAAAUUUCCACAAAAAAAUCAUAUCCUUAUUCAUAUACCGGUGCCGUGCUCUUCAUUUUUCAACUAGCAGCAAGUUUUCUUUGCAAGAGAACUAUACUCUUUGUUAUUCAACAGAGACCAAAAUGUUGCAGAUGAGUAAACACAUAAAUCAGUUCACCCCAUGAAUGAAAUCUAGCUAAUUCUUAAACAUGGACAGCAUGCAUUAAAAACCAGAGGUGCACUCAGAAACCAGAGCCACUAGUGUGCCACCAGCCGACCAGAAGAAUGUUCUAUAAAGAAUUCCAGUGUGCAUAAAUACGUCUGAUAAUUAUCCAUGCAAAUCAUGAAGCGAUCCAAAAUCAUUAAGAAGGCCGACACCAGUUGAAUUUUAUGUUAAGUUUCUAGUGCCUGAUUGUAACACUCAAUGCGCAUGCAAAUUUUCUGCCCAGACAAGAAAGAUCUAAAUGCCUCACAACUCACAAGCAAUAAACAGGUACAUCCUUUACAGUGGCGGAGGAUGAGGAAAGGAACCAGCACACAUGUUUUAUAAUUGGCCUAGUAUGCAGAAGAGAAAAGGCUACAUUUUACCAAAAGAAUAGUAGAUGUCUUCAAUGCUCCAUGCGUACCGGGAGAGGGUAGAGACUGUGGAUCGGCAACUGAUUAUUCAGUAGUAUUGUUCAUUUCUAGACAGCAUCGUGCAAGGGUAAGGCCGUCUAGAAAUACCCUUCCAAAUCUACAUGGUUCUGGUCUUACUCCCAAGCUAAAGAUAUUCCAGACACUCGCCCGGUCACACUUGUGCACUAGAUAACUACCCUAUUUCUAUGCAGCAACUGCCCCCCUUCAUUGAUAUCUGACAUCCCCACAAUUUUGGUUUAUCAAGGUAACGUAACACUCGAGCGAUAGCUCUUGGUAGUUAGUAUCCCCCACCUUGCCCUACAACAGCCGUAGGCCAAGCAAUAGACCAUGUGCCCCCCUAGUAGCCACUCAACAACAUUCUAUGACCGCCCACUACAGACUAGGUGAUGAUCGUCUGUCUUGUCCAGUGACCAACCACUGUCAUACUUGAUGGUCACCACCACGAAUGGUGAAUAUCGCCGCAGCGUACAAUUGAAUCAAACUGGUGUUUAUGUAUAAUAUAAUAAAGGAUUUUUGUUUGCAGGGUAACAUAGUUGAAUGCUUAAUGAGAAUUUCUUAGGAAAAAGGCAUGCAAGGUGCAGAAAAUGCAAAAACACGCGUCAGUCAACUGUUUUGCUGUAUUGUGUUUUGGCUUGUAACUUCGCCAUGUGACAAUCUGCCUUGACGUCCCCGAGAGAAAAUUCUACCAUGUAUCUAACUAUAUACUACUCCCUCUGUUCCAAAUUACUCGUCGCAAAAAUGAAUGUAUCUAGAACUAAAAUACAUCUAGAUACAUCCAUACCUGCGACAAGUAAUUCGGAACGGAGGGAGUAGUUGUUUUGCUAACCUAAUUGUAGUAGCAAACACUAGUAAACCCUCGUGUCGAUCUACUCUUCAACUGCAGAGCCACACAAUUCUGCCGUGAGGUCACUUGCUCAACCUCAACUUCUGAUAUUCUUCUUGGCAAUGACAAACAGCAUAUGUUCCAGUUUUCCUCAGACCAAUUCAUCACUUCCUUUGGGUGCGUAACUAACUAACCAUGCUAAUUGAUCAUUUUGGAUGCCUCUGUUAACAGGCUGAUUACGUAUAUUUUUUAACACUGCAACAGGGAAUUCAAUCGUGUUCCUCGAUGCCACAUCGUUGUUAAGCAUAUUACAUCACAGUAAGGCUGAUUAUGUAUAGGAAUUAGGAAAGAAUAUGCACCAUACUUAAUUGUGACUUAAUUUGGUUUAAAUAAUAGUGUGGUUUAUUUGGAACCAUUGCGGCGAACUGUGUGGGCACUCAAACAGUAACAUAAAAACACAGCAACAAAUCUGACCAUACUCAACUUGUCAAAUUUACAAAUAAGAAAAACGGCACUUGGAUAUCAUAUUACGAUUAGGCUUUGGCAGAAAAAUAAAACAAUCAGCAAAGAAUUAUGAAAACAAAUUCACUGACUGGCCCAGAAAACAUAAAGGUAAAUGGUUGUCACCAAUUAUGCAACACAACUUUGCUUGGAAUAAGGACCAUGUAGUAUUUAAGUAAAAGCCCUUCUUUUAGAAACAAAGUACAAACCCUAUGUGCAUAUUAAGUAUACAUCCUAUCAUAAAUUCAUGAUUAUUGCAAUAUCUUUUGUAACACAAUAAGGUAUAAGAUCUGCAAAACUUUAAAAACACAACACUAAUCUGUUUCAAGUCAGAUGUCUCAAACACACAUCACCACCUCGUGAUUAGUCAAUCGCCUGAAUUUCUAAUGCCCAUGUCUUUCGAAAGUUACUUUCAACAAGAAUUUCAUACCUUCCCACUACGAAAGCUUUCAUGGUCUUCCCGUCUUCUCUUGCUAGAUCUGUGAAGAUCUUGCUCAUUUGGCACAGAGCCUCUGCCCUUUCUUGUGCUCUCCCUCGGCUUAUCCCUACUAGCCUGGCGAGCAUCAGAACUGCUAGAUACACGAUUAUUGUCAUGAAUCUUUUUUAUUUUAUCUUGUCUGGAGUUCCUUUCAUUGUUAUUUGGAUUGUCAUCACGUGGACGCACAUCAGCUCGCCCUUUAUUCUGCGUGCUGUUUUCUUCUGCACCUUGACCUCUCCUCCCAGGCUCAUUUUGUUUGUUGCGCUCUAGGGUUUCUUUGCUCAACAAUGCAGAUCUUGAUUCAUCCUUCUUCCUACCACCACCGACAAUUUUGUCAUCCAUAACCCGUCCACCCCGACCAGUUCCUCUGCCUUCUUCUCUCUGAAGGAGCAGUGUGCUUUCAUGCUUAGGCCUCUGCCUGUCGUCCUUUUCUCUCUGUCGCAAGUUGUCCUCUUUAUUCUUCACAAUACUACGAUCAUCAGCCUUCUCCCGCAUCCUAACACCAUCGUCUCUUCUUUUCUGAUCAAUUCCAUCAUCCCGUUCUCUCUUCCUUCUGUUUGGAUCAUCCCUUCCUCUAUAACCGUGGACUGCAUCUUCACUCUCAGGUUUCAUUCUCCUGGUGUUCUCUUCAUCUUUCUUUCUCUUGAUAUGAGAAUCAUCUAAACUUUCACGACUAUUCAAAACCAUAUCACCACGCUCUCUUUGUCUAGAGCCCCUCCAGUCACCAUCAUCCAGCAAUUUCCUUGGAUGAGGAUCUUCAUCCCUGUCAUUCCUAUCAAUAGGUCUCAACUUAUUUCUAUGUCUUGCACCAACUUCAGCAUUGUAGUUGAGUCUCAAAUCUUCCUCCUUGCCUCUUCUGUUGUGCAUGCUGUCUUCUCUUCUCUGCAAAAUUUCAGUCUCUCUUACCCUAUCAAAACUUUUACCGCGUAUGUCCCGAUCUCUGUUCCCGUAAGGAUGGUGGAUAUCAUCCCUACCUCUAGAAGCCAAAUGUGUCCUUUCUAUUUCAGGUUUGACGUCUCGAGCAGACACGUCCUUUCGACGGGGAUCGCGUUCUUCUCCAUCAUGAUGCCUUCUCACAUCAUUUACACGCCUGGACCGCCUAUCUUGCAGAACUUCUUCACCAGAUUCAAGGCGUUUCUGAUGAUCUUUGCUGCUACCAGACCUCACUCCUCUACUGUUUUCACUAUUCAGUGUCUUCAAAUCGACUUGAUCACUACUAUUAAUGAGUCCAGGGGGCUGCUCAACCUUAGAAAUGAUCUUCUGCCUUUUACUAGAAUGAUCCUCAUUAUCAUCCUCAUUCGUAUCGCUAGCCAUGUGAGGUUCUGAGAUAGCAUCAUCAGCAUCCAUUUCAGCACUAUCAACCAAAGCAAGCCUAUCAUCAUUAUCAGCAAAUUGAUCUUCUGUGCUCAGCUUGUCUGUCGUUUCAUCAGCAACAGUAGGUGACCGUUUUAAGCCAUCCUUAGUUUCUGAGUCAUCAACAGGUUUGCUAUCUCCCGGGGUAUCACGGCGUCUCUUUGAGGAUGUUGUUUUGCGAGGUACUUCAUUGGAGCUUUCAGCUUCUCGGCUAGGGUUUACACCCUGAGAGCGUCCUCUCAACCUUUUAAAGAACAAUUUGAGGGCAAGCAUCAGAGAUACAACUUCGACAAAAACAAAGAGCUGAAGGACGUAAAACCAAAAAAUACAAGAAAUAUGGGAAGCAUAUGCUAGAGAAAAUGGAACAAUGACAUCAUCCAAAGAUCUCCAGAAUCCACAUCCUGGCAUUAACCUUGCAAUCGGGCAAGAGACUAAUGAAAUACUGGAGGGCUUGGAUAUUGAAACACAAUACAUACUACCACAUCAUGGAAUGACAAUCCAUCAGUUAAAUGUAACCGUGCAUGUGAAUGACAAUCCAUCAGUUACGUGUAACAGUGCAUGUGAAUAGUGGUAGAAGGGGUAUCACUGUGGCAUGAAUUGCUGGCCACUUGGCUCCUUAAGUGAGAGCACCUUGGCCAUGAUCUGGUCUAUUUAAGAUGGAAUGUGCAAUGGCCUUUGCCUUCAAGAAACUAGACUCAUAUAAACUAAACUUGGCUCCUUCACUGAGAACAUCUUGGCUAUGAUCUGGUCUAGUGAAGGUGGAAUGUGCAAUGGCCUGGCCUUCAAGAAACUAGACUCACUGUAAUACCUCACUUCACUAUGAUCUUUCGAACAGGACUACUACUUAAAGGCUAAAAAGACCACCGCAACUGGCUCACUCUAAUCCGGAAGUAACAUUCAUGUGAUCACACCAAUAAAGACUAGAACUCAGUUUGCGGUUGUUGAACUGCUAUGUGCUGAAUUAUCUAUAAUGUGAUGCAGAAAAUUAGUUCUGAGAAAACGAGAUUAUCAAAAUCAACCGUAAUGCAAACUGCAGCACGCAUAAUUUAGCCAGGAUUAACAAGUUUGGUUUUGUAGAUACUGCAUACCUUACUCCACGAGAAGGAGAGCCCCUUAUUUUGUAGUUCGGCGGGGAACGGCCCUGAACAUCUGAUGUGAGCAUAUCACCUUCAGAUGAGACAGGCAACCUUCUGGUAUGUUCUGCCUUUCCCAAAGAGGAAUUAUAAGAAGAAUUGUUCGUCUUCUCUGGUGUAUAGACCUCGCUCUCCUCAACACCGUUGCUUUUUUUACCUCCUUGAGAAUCCUUCUCAGACUGAUCCACUGAACUAUCAGCAACUAUUGGAUCAUCUGCCGGAGGCUCACAUACAAUCUGAAACCCAAGACAAUGCUUAGAAUUGAAAAGCUACUAGUGAGGCAACUUAAAUAUAUGCCAAAGCAGGAUCACAGCUUACCUCUAUAACAGAAUCUGAUUCACGGUUUCGACCUGGACGUGUAUCAGCAGACGGAAAACGUUCUCCAUAACCAGUUUCAACUUGUAUAGGUCUGCCCGUCAUCUGGAGAGGGAAAAAAGAUGCUCUUAGUAGUUUGACUGAACAGUGAACGGUAACACCAAACAAAUAAAAGAACAAAAAACACCUACAAUUUUUUGAUAGUUUUGCAUGAUGACGAACACAGUUUUCUUGACUUACAAUGAGGAACUAAUUUCUUAGUAGUAGUUUAAUAAAAUAAAGAUAACUCAAAACUACAGAAUGGUAACCAAAUGUCACAUGAUAACUGAAAAGAUGCACAUGGUUGUGUGUCGAAAACUGUUUUGUAGCACAUGUACAAGUUUACAACAGAAUGUGAGAGUACAUAAGUAAACAAGGACAGCUAAACAUGGCACUCCCUCCGUUUUUGUAUACAAGGCCUUUAUCACAUUUUUAAGAUACCAAGAAAACAAAGCCAACUAAUAAUGGUAGAUUAAUUGUGUGGAAAACCUCUCGUGUUCCGGGCUAAUUAAACAUGUUGCAUGUGGUGCCACUUUCUCUAUGGCUGCAUGCAACAUUUGCAUAAAUAAGCACCAUCAUGCUAGGCAAAAAUCUAAUUGAUUCUUCUCAGGAAGAGAUAAUGGCCUUGUAUAGAAGCAAAUUGUAUUUUUGAUAGUGGCCUUUGUAUAUAAAAGAGGAGUGUGUAUGAAAGAUUAUGAAAAAUGUGAACCAAAUACAUGUACACGAGACAUCGUGGGGGUUACCACUGCAGGUCGGUUGCUUGUAGGAACUCUCCCUUGGGCACUGAAAUCUGUAUGUCCAUUAUCUACUUUAUUCCGAUUAUCAGCAGAAACGUCAUGAUGGCCAGCCGCAGCAGCUAGCUCCGGUGGCAAAUCUGGAUCGUAGUCCUGAAUGAGACCAAUUAAAUACUGUUAACAGGCACAAAAGUACAUAGCUUGCAUUGGAUCAAGCAAAUGAGGUUACAAGGAACCUGUUCUGAGCGCCCACUCUCGUACACCCGUAUUCUAGAUUGCAUUGUGGACUCCAAUCGUGAUUGAUCCUGGUGAAAAAUAUAUCAGUACUUUACAGAAGGNNNNNNNNNNNNNNNNNNNNNNNNNNNNNNNNNNNNNNNNNNNNNNNNNNNNNNNNNNNNNNNNNNNNNNNNNNNNNNNNNNNNNNNNNNNNNNNNNNNNNNNNNNNNNNNNNNNNNNNNNNNNNNNNNNNNNNNNNNNNNNNNNNNNNNNNNNNNNNNNNNNNNNNNNNNNNNNNNNNNNNNNNNNNNNNNNNNNNNNNNNNNNNNNNNNNNNUAUUGCCACCAAAUGUUAAACAAGGACUGACCAGUUGCUUGCAGUAGUCUUUCCAUUUCUCCUCAUCAAGCCCAAAGUUGAAGAAGUCUGAAAUUUCAGCACUAGGGUAUUUCCAUGGCUUCUCCUCAAAUGUGGUGUCAAUGUCAAUAUCAAAAAUUAUCCUGGGACAAAUAAAUUAUGUUGAGGAGAGGGCAUAUAAUGAGCAUAAAUAGAAUAGUUGUCCAGAUGUAACUGAAAUAACAACGGGAAGCACACAAAUAAUUCCUUGAUUCCAACCUAGAAUUCAAUCCCCGGCCCCUCAUCCAAAAAAAAAGGUAACAAAUAGUGGUAUAUGGUUCUUGACUCUGCGCGCUUGAGUUGAGAAUGCUAGAUGUAUUCUAUGCGUUGAGUUAAAUUCACGCAAAAUUGGCAUUUGCCAGAGCAUGCAACAAUAAUAACCCUAAUGCACACUCACAACUGCAACAGAUAAACAGAGUUUGCAGCAAGCGAAGCAUAAAAUGACCUACAGGUCUUAUCAUGUCUACCAGUUAACUUACUUGUGAGGAGGAAGUGUGAAAUCUAGUCCGCCACCAAAACCACGACCAGCACCACCCCAUGGAGUCAUUCCAUAGCCUGAAUGAAAACCUUUAUUCAUGCCCCUACAAGCACCAGGCCGCCAGUCUCCUCUUCCUCGACCAGAAAAAGGUCCAGGGGGUCCAGGUGGACGGAAUUGGCCAGGAGCACUAGGAGCCCCACCGGUUGGAGCGCCAGGUCGUACAUACUGCAAGAGGGAGAACAAAGAUUAUAAAAAUAAUCAAAGAGAAAGUUUAAAAAGUUAAAAAGGUGAAUGAGAACACUCAUUUCCCAACCAACAACUUUCCAAGUACUUAACAUCAUCGCUUUGCCAGCAGUUAAGCCAUGAGAACAGAUGAUGAAUAUAUAUGCAAAACAUCAUGUAGUUCGUGAAAUGAACUUGAACUGUGCUUGAUUUAAUAUUCAAUUGGGGUUUACAUGCUGUCCAGUAUUGCCAUUCUUUGAAAAUGGUUUAGGAAGUGUCAUGUAGCAGAAGAACAUAUUUGAUCCCACUACAGGUAUUGCUUGAUAACAAAUUAUUAUAUUAAAGAUAAUAGCAUAUGUACUGAUGCAUGGAAUUUAUCAUUAACUUGCAAGAGAUCUGAUCUCACAUCCCCAGGGUGUGAGUACGUAAUUUGACUAUGCUAGAGCUGACCACUUAGUUAUAUCCAGGCAGAUAUUAAUAGAACAAAAUUCCACACUGACAAAAUGUGCCGAUACAUUUAGGAUCGAACAGUUACAACUGCACCUAAAUCAUUCAAGUCUUCUUUGAUCAUACAGGGUCCAACCACAGUCAGAUGGCCAUUAGUCCUAAGAGUCCCAGUGCGGGAUUGUUAAACACUCUCCUGCUAGAGGUAGAGUCAAUAUUUGUGUUCGCGGCAAGGAACAGGAAAACGCCUGUCAGCAGCUGUUUGCCAAUUUCCCCAUAGUUCUGUUGUUGAGUUUAGCACAGAGAAAUAGCUAGAACUAACAGACCUACAGUUAGGGAGAAUGUGACUUGAGCGCAUACAGCCAACGAAUACUGUAACUUGAGUGUGUAUAGCCAGAACAAUGAAAUAUUUUGGACACAGCCUGAAGAUUGAGCUUUGACAAGCAAGCUUAUGUACAUCAUAGUGCCUGCUCUUGGAGCUGGGUCAACUAAUGUGUGCCUUAUCUCUUACUGGACAAAAGUGAUAUUGCCAGCUUCGAGCACCUGCCGACCUUGUCACUAUCUCCUAUCAUGAAAUAACCGGCAUGUUCCUCGAAAUGGCUGACUUCAUCCGCAUCACACCAGCAUCUGGAAUGAAGUUACUGACUUGAAAUUCAGUGACCAGUCUGUAUCGAUGCCACCAUCUUGUUAACUACUUCACUAACUAAACAAAGAAUUAUAACCCCACGGGGAUUAAACAUUCAGAAGGCUCUUGAAGUUGCUAUACGGAAGCAUGAAAAAGUAAAUGCAAAAUCAUUGUAUUUCCCUUUGUUCCCUUUAUAUGUUAUAUAAAUUGCAUUUACAGUAUACAUUGUCGGACAGUAAGCAGGAAUGCAAAAGAAUCUAAGGAAGAAACUAAACUUUAUCAGGAAUUUACACAGUACAACGUAAAGCAUAGCGAGUUGCAACCGGGGUUUAUGCCGUCUCCCUCUUUGGGGGUGGGCCGAGCGCAUCGAACAUCGAACGGCUUCUUGGCCCGAAUAACUGACCUUGAACAUGGAAUGGUGCUGCGGGUGGAACCCCGGGCCGCCGCCACUGUACCCGAUCCUCCCGCCAGGCAUGGGGCCCGUCUUCCCAGGCUCACCGCCCUCUUUUCUCUCUCCCUCGGGCCCAGCCGCUGUCCCGUCCUCCACCCACUCCUGCUCCUCCAUGCCGGGGACGUGAGGUCCAUCGGCGACGAUGAGGAGGUCUUCCCCGUCCUCGUCGUCGCCUUCGUCCUCCCCGAGCCGCCGGCGUCCGUCCGUCUCGUUGAGCACGAUCUGGAGGUCGUCCUCGCUGUCGCUAUCCCACUCGUCGCUCCCGGCCGCACCACCGGCCGCCGCCGAGGACGAGAGCCCCGGGAUGGCCGCCCCGGGGUCGUCCGCGCCGACCCCCAUGAGCGGAUCGGGAUCCUCCGCGGCGGGGGGCGGCGGCUUCGCAUCGACCUCGCGCUUCACGGCGGGGGGCGCGCCGCCAUCGUCGUCCUCGUCGACCCAGUCGGUGGUGGGGUCGACCCCGGCGAGGGGGUCGCCCCCUCCGAGCAGCCAGUCGUCGUCGUCGUCGUCCUCGGCGCCCGCCGCCGCCGCGGCCGACGCGGGAGCUGGCGCGGAAUUAGGGUUUGGGGCCGGGGCGGCGCGCGGCGGGGUUUCGGCGGGCGGCGGCGGCCUGGGGGGCUCGGACGUCGGGAGGACGAUGUCCGUGUAGAGGUCGCCGAACUCGUCGUCGUCCUCCAUGGCGACGGCGAGAUCGGGCGGGGGAGGCCGGAGGCGGCGGGCGAUGGGGGUGAGGGUCGGGGGAGAGUCGCCAAGUUCGUUUUGGAGCUCUGCCUAUUAGGAGAAGGGCUCUCGGUUUUAGGGGUUCCUUGCUUAUACUGACAAAAAUAACUGUGAGAUUUUUUUCCGAACGAUUUGAAGAUUGCUCACCACGCUUGCCGUGCGGUAAAAUUAACUCAGAGAUAUUCUGAUAUCUCAGAUCAGGAUAUGUAACAUGUACAUCAAGUGCUCACGGAUUUACAGUACCAUAUUGUGUACGGGUUUUCAACUUGCAAGAGUUGAUGUCUAGCCCUAUUUUGUUCAACCAAAUGAAUUAUAAAAAAAUUUAAAAAAAAAAUAAGCGGUUCAUUUGGUUGGACUAGAUAGGGCCACUGGCUACCCUAAACAAUACACAUUUGCACCCCUGGUUAAGCAUAGAGAAAAGGAUGUACAAUUAACGCAAUAAAAAUUAUAUUUUCUAUGAGACGCCUCCAAAUGAUAUCCACCAUAGAAACACACUCAAACUUCCUUUUGCAAUACUCAAGUCGCAAUCCUUACAUCAUCGUGGUGUUCUCAUCCUCGAUAGCACAGUUGCGUUCUCCUCUGUCGAUGUCGGAGUUCGAGUUUGUCGUGACGUCAACUUACAUACCGAGUGACAAAUAAAGAUAUUUGUGAAGUUGGUGUUGGGUAGAGUGUGAAUUUGCAAGUUUGAAAGUUUGUUACUUCCUCCGUCUCAAAAUAAAUGUCUCAACUUUAUAUUAACUUUAGUACAAAGUUGAACUAAGGUUGAGACACUUAUUUUGAAACGGAUGGAUACUUAUUAGUCACACUUCACCCGUCAUUAAGUACAUAUGUAAUUUUACGUGUAAAUUUUUAAAAUUUGGACGUAGGGCGAAAGCUCGCCCGCAUGUGCCAUGCACUAUAUUUACUAAUGUAUUUUUUGUUAUUAAAAUUGUAUUAAAUCAGUGUCAAUUAAUAUGGAUCGGAAGGAGUAGCUUACGUCAGUCUUAAUUCUAGCACCGUUAUGCCAGGCAGUUCCACUCGAGCGAUACCGUUACGUGACUCGAGUCACUGCUUGAAUUUGGCGUGUUUGUCCACGUGAUCUGGUUUGGUUCGGUCAAUGACGUAACGCCAAAUCCGAUCGAGUGAUGCAUCUAAAUGGGCCAACGAUCUGUAGCGCGUCUCCUAAGAGAAAGAUCUGUGUGGCGCGUAACCACCAGCGCUCGCCUGGUGAAAAGAAAUGUCAGCUUUUGUUGGCUGGUUUGGCAGAAAACUUGGUUCUCACUUUGCCAUCUCGGAUGCAAGCUCAUCUCUACUUCUCGGCGGCGUGUCUUUUUAUGGGUGGUCAGGUCGGCCAGUGCUGCCACAAUUUUAGUCCGGUUUUCAGUAUAUUAUUCAGUUUUGCUAAAGCACAUCUAAAUGUGACACAAGUAUUGUACAUCUAAGUCCUAUGUCAUUAAUCUUACGUCGAGAUUCGUGUGGAUAUUUUCCUUUUUUUUUAUUUUCUCUUUAUGCUUGAUUCACUCACUUAGAUGUGCAAUAACUAGAGCACAUCUAGAUGUGCCCUAGACACACUAUAUUAUUUGGGUUUGUCGCACAUCUAAAUGACUCAAUUAAUCUAGAAAAACAAAAGAAAAUACUUGCACGAAGCUUAGCGUAAAAUCAAUGACAUAGGAUUUAGAUGUGCAAUACUUAGAGCACAUCUAAAUGUGCUUUAUCAAAAUUGAUAUUUAUGAGAGCAAAAACUUUCCCCUCCAUCCCAGACCGCACGUGCAGGCGGUUCCGGAGAGCUAACCCUAACCGCCAGAGACCCCCGUCCUAGAUGGUGACGGGGCCUGGCCGUCAAAGGCAACGGGCGAGGUCAGCGAGCCCGGACGGGCCCCUCCCCCUUUGCGUGAAGGGGUGGCGUCAUGCGGGCGGCGUGUGGUCAGGCCAUGGUGCGACGGAGAUUCGCGGAGGAGCAGAGGAGUCUGUCGAGGAACGACGCCUCCAUAUUGUGUCAGUGCGAGAGUGGAGGGCCGUGCAGACCGGCUCUCAUGGUGACGGCGGCUGUGUGGGGUUUGGCCAAGAGUGGCGGGAGCUCCCGGAGUGCUGGCGGCCGGCGGUCAACUCGGGUGUGGGCGUGCGGUUGCCCUCCUGGAGGCGUCGGUGCGAAUGAGGCGAAAGUGUGGGCUCGAUUUGGGCCCAUCGGGGUCAGAUCUAGGACGAAGGGUUGUGGUAGUGACAGCUGUCUAGAGUGAGACAGCUAUUGCACGAGGUGUGCAGCCCUGUUCGGUGGAGAUGGAGGUGCCGUGCUGCGUUUCUCUCGUCUAGGCGGGAGGUGGAAUGCGAUCUCGGCCAUGCGGGUGUUGGUGGACUGUAAUGCUACGACUACAACGACGUGGUGUUGCGGCGCCAGCGGUGCGAACAACUCGAACGGUGGCCCCAGACCGGCGUCGAGGGUGGGAGGUGUGCUGCAAAAACAGAUGAAGGUCUUGCCCAUUUGUCAACACCGGCAGUGACGGCGCCCCUGGUCGUCGCCCCCUCCUUGGAGGCGUUGUUGAGAUGUGUCGACACUUCCCUGCUCCCGUGUUUAUUUGGUAGAUGUCUUCGGGCGAAAGCCUAGGCUUGGUGUGGGAUCGACACGAUGGGGGCGUCCUCGACGCCGUACCUUCGUUAGGAGCAUUGUGUUUGGACACUUGGCUUGGAGGUUCCUUGUCGCGCUCCUCCGAUGCUUGCCAGUGCCCAAGAUUGUUCUUCAGAGGCGCCAUGUAUACCGUCGCUGGGAAUCCAAGGUGAUGCCUUUAUCUGGACUGACCAAGUCCCAUCAUUUGCUUGUCAUCUCCUCCGUUGGCAUUAAGGGCGAACGAUGCGUCAACAAGCGAGGUCCAAUGGAGUUGUUGAUCUUCGGAGGCGAUUGGUGUCGGUUAAGACGCGGCUCUGUAGCGCAUUCUGCUUGGGAUCGUAGCAGAAAUUUAAAAUUUUCUACGCAUCACCAAGAUCAAUCUAUGGAGUAAUAUAGCAACGAGGGGAAGGGAAGUGCAUCUACAUACCCUUGUAGAUCGCUAAGCGGAAGCGUUGCAAGAACGCGGAUGAAGGAGUCGUACUCGCAGCGAUUCAGAUCGCGGUUGAUUCCGAUCUAAGCGCCGAACAACGGCGCCUCCGUGUUCAACACACGUGCAGCCUGAUGACGUCUCCCACGCCUUGAUCCAGCAAGGGGAGAAGAGGAGGUUGGGGAAGACUCCGUCCAGCAGCAGCACGACGGCGUGGUGGUGAAGGAGGAGUGUGGCAAUCCUGCAGGGCUUCGCCAAGCACCGCAGGAGAGGAGGAGGACUUGGGAGAGGGAGAGGGAUGCACCAGAACUUGGGUGCGGCUGCCCUCCCACCCCCCACACAUAUAUAUAGGGGCAAGGGAGAGGGGGGCCGGCCCCCUCAGACCCAAUCUGAGGAGGGGCGGCGGCAGGGGGGUUGCCUUGCCCCCCAAGGCAAGGGGGGCGCCCCCCUUUAGGGUUCCCCCAAACCCUAGGUGCAUGGACCCUAGAGGGAAGGCGCCCAGCCCAUUAAGGGGCUGGUCCCUCUCCACACACAGCCCAUAGGGCCCUCUGGGGCAGGUGGACCCUCCCGGUGGACCCCUGGAACCCCUUCGGUGGUCCCGGUACAAUACCGGUAACCCCCCGAAUUAUUCCGGUGACCGUAUGAUGACUUCCCAUAUAUAAAUCUUUACCUCCGGACCAUUUCGGAACUCCUCGUGACGUCCGGGAUCUCAUCCGGGACUCUGAACAACAUUCGGUAACCACGUACAUCUAUUCCCUAUAACCCCAGCGUCAUCGAACCUUAAGUGUGUAGACCCUACGGGCUCGGGAGUCAUGCAGACAUGGUCGAGACAACUCUUCGGUCAAUAACCAACAGCGGGAUCUGGAUACCCAUGUUGGCUCCCACAUGCUCCACGAUGAUCUCAUCGGAUGAACCACGAUGUCAAGGAUUCAAUCAAUCCCGUAUACAAUUCCCUUUGUCUAUCGGUACGAUACUUGCCCGAGAUUCGAUCGUCGGUAUCCCGAUACCUUGUUCAAUCUCGUUACCGGCAAGUCUCUUUACUCGUUCCGUAACACAUCAUCCCGUGAUCAACUCCUUGGUCACAUUGUGCAUAUUAUGAUGAUGUCCUACCGAGUGGGCCCAGAGAUACCUCUCCGUUACACGGAGUGACAAAUCCCAGUCUCGAUUCGUGCCAACCCAACAGACACUUUUGGAGAUACCCGUAGUGCACCUUUAUAGCCACCCAGUUACGUUGUGACAUUUGGCACACCCAAAGCACUCCUACGGUAUCCGGGAGUUGCACAAUCUCAUGGUCUAAAAAAAUGAUACUUGACAUUAGAAAAGCUUUAGCAUACGAACUACAUGAUCUUGUGCUAGGCUUAGGAUUGGGUCUUGUCCAUCACAUCAUUCUCCUAAUGAUGUGAUCCCGUUAUCAACGACAUCCAAUGCCCAUGGUCAGGAAACCGUAACCAUCUAUUGAUCAACGAGCUAGUCAAUUAGAGGCUUACUAGGGACAUGGUGUUGUAUAUGUAUCCACACAUGUAUCUGAGUUUCCUAUCAAUACAAUUCUAGCAUGAAUAAUAAACGAUUAUCAUGAACAAUGAAAUAUAAUAUAAUAAUAACUAAUUUAUUAUUGCCUCUAGGGCAUAUUUCCAACACAUUCUCACUUGCACUAGAGUCAAUAAUCUAGUUCACAUCGCCAUGUGAUUAACACUCACAGGUCACAUCGCCAUGUGACCAACAUCCAAAGAGUUUACUAGAGUCAAUAAUCUAGUUCACAUCACUAUGUGAUUAACACUCAAUGAGUUCUGGUUUUGAUCAUGUUAUGCUUGUGAGAGAGGUUGUAGUCCACGGGUCUGCAAUAUUCAGAUCCCUAUGUAUUUCACAAAACUUUAUGUCAUAUCGUAGAUGCUGCUACCACGUUCCACUUGGAGCUAUUCCAAAUUUUUGCUCCAUUAUAUGUAUCCGGUAUCUCUACUCAGAGCUAUCCGGAUAGGUGUUAAGCUUGCAUCGACGUAACUCUUUACGUCGAACUCUUUAUCACCUCCAUAACCGAGAAACAUUUCCUUAUUCCUCUAAGGAUAAUUUUGACCGCUAUCUGGUGAUCCACUCCUAGAUCACCUUUGCACCCUCUUGUUAGACAUGUGGCAAGGCACACAUCAGGUGUGGUACUCAGCAUGGCAUACCGUAUAGAGCCUAUGACAAAAGCAUAGGGGACGACCUUCGUCCUUCCUCUUUCUUCUACCGUGGUCAAGCUUUGAGUCUUACUCAACUUCACACCUUACAACUCAGGUAAGAAUCCCUUCUUUGACUGUUCUAUUUUGAACUCCUUCAAAAUCAUGUCAAGGUGUGCGUUCUUUGAAAGUAUCAUCAGGCGUCUUGAUCUAUCUCUGUAGAUCUUGAUGCCCAAUAUGUAAGCAGCUUUAUCCAGGUCUUCCUUUGAAAAUCACUCUUCAAACAACCGUUUGUGCUUUCCAGAAAUUCUACAUUAUUUCGGAUCAACAAUAUGUCAUCCACAUAUACUUAUCAAAAAUGUUGUAGUGCUCCCACUCACUUUCUUGUAAAUACAAGUUUCUAGCAAACAUUGUAUAAACCUAAAAGCUUUGAUCACUCCAUCAAAGCAUAUAUUCUAACUCCAAGAUGGUUGCUCUAGUCCAUAGAAGGAUCGCUGGAGGCAGCAUACCUUUUAGCAUCUUUAGGAUCUACAAAACUUUGAUUGUAUCACAUACAACUCUUUCUUACGAAAACUGAUAAGAAAACUUGUUUUUGACAUCCAUCUGUCAGAUUUCAUAAUCAAAAAUACAGCUAAUGCUAUCAUGAUUCCGACGGACUUAAGCAUCGCUACGGGUGAGAAAUUCUCAUUGUAGUCAACUCCUUGAACUUGUGAAAAUACUCUUUCCCACAAGUCGAGCUUCAUAGAUGGUAACAUUACCGCCCACGUCCGCCUUCUUCUUAAAGAUCCAUUUAUCUCAAUGGCUUGCCGAUCAUCGGGCAAGUCCACCAAAGUCCAUACUUUGUUCUGAUACAUGGAUCCUAUCUCGGAUUUCAUGGCUUCUAACCAUUUGUCAGAAUACGGGCCCACCAUCGCUUCUCCAUAACUCGUAGGUUCAUUGUUGUCUAACAACAUGAUAUCUAAGACAGGAUUACUGUACCACUCAGGAGUAGUAAAUAUCCUUGUCGACCUACGAGGUUCGAUAGCAACUUGAUCCGAAGCUUCAUGAUCACUAUCAUUAACUUCCUAUUCAACAGACAUAGGCGCCACAGAAAACAUCUUUCUGUGUUGCAUCACUCUCUAGUUGAAGUAAAGGUUCGACAACCUCAUCAAGUUCUAUCUUCCUCCCACUCAAUUCUUUCGAGAGAAACUCCUUCUCGAGAAAGGACCCGUUCUUAGCGACAAACAAUUUGCCCUCGGAUCUGAGAUAGAAGGUAUACCCAACUGUCACCUUUGGGUAUUCUAUGAAGAUGUGUUUGUCCGCUUUUGGGUUCGAGCUUCUCUGGCUGAAGCCUUAAGCAUCACAACCCCAAACAUUAAGAAAUGACAACUUUGGUUUCUUGCCAAACCAUAUUCAUAUGACGUCAUCUCAACGGACUUAGAUGGUGUCCUAUCUAAAGUGAAUGCAACUGUCCCUAACGCAUAUCCUCAAAAUGAAAACGGUAGACCGGUAAGAGACAUCAUAGAUCGCACCAUAUCUCAUAAGGUUCGAUUACGACGUCCGGACACACCAUUACCCUGUGGUGUUCCAGGUGGCUUCAACUGUGAAAGAAUUUCCACAAUGUCUUAAGUGAUUGCCAAACUCAUAACUCAGAAAUUCUCAUCGAUCAGAUCGUAGGAAUUUGAUCUUCUUGUUUUGAUGGUUCUUAACUUCACUCUGAAAUCGCUUGAACUUUUCAAAUGUUUCAGACUUGUGCUUCAUUAAGUAAAUAUACCUAUAUCUACUCAAAUCGUCAGUGAAGAUGAGAAAAUAGCGAUAUCCACCGCACGCUUCAAUUCUCAUUGGAUCACACGCAUCAGCAUGUAUGAUUUCCAACAAGUCACUUGCCCGUUUCAUUGUACCUGAAAUCGGGGUCUUAGUCAUCCUGCCCAUGAGGCAUGGCUCGCAUGUGUCAAGCGAUUCAAAAUCAAGUGACUCCAAACAUCCAUCGACACAGAGUUUCUUCAUGCAUCUUACGCCAAUAUGACCUAAGCGGCAGUGCCACAAGAAAGUGGUACUAUCUACAUCUUUUGGCGUGAACAUGUGUAUUACCACGACCGAGAUUCACUGAACCAUUCACAUAGGGUGCAUGACCAUGAAAGGUAUUAUUCAUGUAAACAGAAUAAUCAUUAUUCUCUAACUUAAAUGAAUAACCGCAUUGCAAUGAACAUGAUCUAAUCAUAUUCAUGCUCAACGUUGACACCUGAUAACAUUUAUCUAGGUUCAAUACUAAUCCCGAAGGCAGAUGGAGCGUGCGAUGGUGAUCUCAUCAACUUUGGAAACACUUCCAACACACAUCGUCACCCGCCCUUAGCCAGUCUCCGUUUAGUCCGUAGCUUUUGCUUCAAGUCACCAAUAAUAGCAACUAAACCAGUAUCCAAUACCCAGGUGCUACCAGGAGUACUAGUGAGGUACACAUUAAUAACACAUAUAUACUUUGUUGAAGUUGCCAGCCUUCUUAUCUACCAUGCAUUUGGGGUAAUUCCGCUACCAGUGACCGUUCCCCUUACAAUAGAAGCACUUACUCUCAGGUUUGGGUUCAACCUUGGGUUCCUUCACUGGAGCGGCAACUGGUUUGCCAUCCAUGAAGUUUCCCUUCUAGCCCUUACCCUUCUUGAAACCAGUGGUCUUGUUAAACCAUCAACACUUGAUGCUCCUUCUUGAUUUCUACCAUUUGCGGUCUUAAGCACCGCGAACAGCUCCGGGAUCAACUCCAUCCCUUGCAUGUCAUAGUUCAUCACGAAGAUCUAGUAGCUUAGUGAUAGUGACUAGAGAACUCUAUCAAUCACUAUCUUAUCUGGAAGUUUAACUCCCACUUGAUUUAAGUGAUUGUAGCACCCAGACAUUCUGAGCACAUGCUCACUAGCUAAGCUAUUCUCCUCCAUCUUGUUGGCAAAAGAACUUGUCAGAGGUCUCAUACCUCUCAACAUGGGCAUGAGCCUGAAAUCCCAAUUUCAGCUCUUGGAACAUCUCAUAUGUUCUAUGGCGUUCAAAAUGUCAUUGGAAUCCCGAUUCUAAGUCGUAAAGUAUGGUGCACUAAACUAUCAAGUAGUCAUCAGGAUGUGUCUGUCAGGUGUUCACAACAUCUACACACGACGUUGUAGGGGUUUGCACAUCGAGCGGUGCAUCAAAAACGUAAGCCUUCUGUGUAGCAGUGAGGACACUCCUCGGACUACGGACCCAAUCCGCAUCAUUGCUUAUCAUAUCUUUCAACUUAGUCUUUCUCUAGGAACGUAUAGAAACAGGGAGCUACAACGUGAGCUAUUUAUCUAGAACAUAUUUGCAAAGACAAUUUAGACUAUGUUCAUGAUAAUUAAGUUCAUCUAAUCAAAUUAUUUAAUGAACUCCCACUCAGAUAGACAUCCCUCUAGUCUUCUAAGUGAUACAUGAUCCGAGUCAACUAGGCCGUGUCCGAUCAUCACGUGAGACGGACUAGUCAUCAUCGGUGAACAUCUUCAUGUUGAUCGUAUCUUCUAUACGACUCACGUUCGACCUUUCGGUCUUCCGUGUUCUGAGGCCAUGUCUGUACAUGCUAGGCUCGUCAAGUCAACCUAAGUGUACUGCGUGUGUAAAUCUGGCUUACACCCGUUGUAUUCGAACGUUAGAAUCUAUCACACCCGAUCAUCACGUGGUGCUUCGAAACAACGAACCUUCGCAACGGUGCAUAGUUAGGGGGAACACUUUCUUGAAAUUAUUGCAAGGGAUCAUCUUAUUUAAGCUACCGUCGUUCUAAGCAAAUAAGAUGUAAAACAUGAUAAACAUCACAUGCAAUCAAAUAGUGACAUGAUAUGGCCAAUAUCAUUUUGGUCCUUUUGAUCUCCAUCUUCGGGGCGCCAUGAUCAUCAUCGUCACCGGCAUGACACCAUUGAAGGAAAUAUGCCCUAGAGGCAAUAAUAAAUUUAUUAUUUAUUUCCUUAUAUCAUGAUAAAUGUUUAUUAUUCAUGCUAGAAUUGUAUUAAUCGGAAACAUAAUACAUGUGUGAAUACAUAGACAAACAGAGUGUCACUAGUAUGCCUCUACUUGACUAGCUCGUUAAUCAAAGAUGGUUAUGUUUCCUAACCAUGAACAAAGAGUUGUUAUUUGAUUAACGAGGUCACAUCAUUAGUUGAAUGAUCUGAUUGACAUGACCCAUUCCAUUAGCUUAGCACCCAAUCGUUUAGUAUGUUGCUAUUGCUUUCUUCAUGACUUAUACAUGUUCCUAUAACUAUGAGAUUAUGCAACUCCCGUUUACCGGAGGAGCACUUUGGGUACUACCAAACGUCACAAAGUAACUGGGUGAUUAUAAAGGAGUACUAAAGGUGUCUCCAAAGGUACAUGUUGGGUUGGCGUAUUUCGAGAUUAGGAUUUGUCACUCCGAUUGUCGGAGAGGUAUCUCUGGGCCCUCUCGGUAAUGCACAUCACAUAAGCCUUGCAAGCAUUACAACUAAUAUGUUAGUUGUGAGAUGAUGUAUUAUGGAACGAGUAAAGAGACUUGCCGGUAACAAGAUUGAACUAGGUAUUGGAUACCGACGAUCGAAUCUCGGGCAAGCAACAUACCGAUGACAAAGGGAACAACGUAUAUUGUUAUGCGGUCUGACCGAUAAAGAUCUUCGUAGAAUAUGUAGGAGCCAAUAUGGGCAUCCAGGUCCCGCUAUUGGUUAUUGACCGGAGACGUGUCUCGGUCAUGUCUACAUUGUUCUCGAACCCGUAGGGUCCGCACGCUUAAGGUUGCGAUGACAGUUAUAUUAUGAGUUUAUGCAUUUUGAUGUACCGAAGGUUGUUCGGAGUCCCGGAUGUGAUCACGGACAUGACGAGGAGUCUCGAAAUGGUCGAGACGUAAAGAUUGAUAUAUUGGAAGCCUAUGUUUGGAUAUCGGAAGUGUUCCGGGUGAAAUCGGGAUUUUACCGGUGUACCGGGAAGGUUACCGGAACCCCCCGGGAGCUAAAUGGGCCAUGAUGGGCCUUAGUGGAAAAGAGAAGAGGCAGCCCUACAUGGGCUGUGCGCCUCCCCCUUCCCCUAGUCCUAUUAGGACUAGGAGAGGUGGUCGGCCCCCCCUCUCUCUUUUCCCCGUCCGCGAAUCCUAUUCCAACUAGGAUUGGGGGGGGGGGAAUCCUACUCCCAGAGGGAGUAGGACUCUCCUAGCGCACCCCUUGUGGCCGGCCAGCCUCCCCCCCUUUGGUCCUUUAUAUACCGAGGUAGAGGCACCCUAGAACACACAAGUUGAUCCACGUGAUCUAUUCUUUAGCCGUGUGCGGUGCCCCCAGCCACCAUAUUCCUCGAUAAUACUGUAGCGGAGUUUAGGCGAAGCCCUGCUGCUGUAGUGCAUCAAGAUCGUCACCACGCCGUCGUGCUGACGGAACUCUUCCCCGACACUUUGCUGGAUCGGAGUCCGGGGAUCGUCAUCGAGCUGAACGUGUGCUCGAACUCGGAGGUGUCGUAGUUUCGGUACUUGAUCGGUUGGAUCGUGAAGACGUACGACUACUUCCUCUACGUCGUGUCAGCGCUUCCGCAGUCGGUCUGCGUUGGGUACGUAGACAACACUCUCCCCUCUCGUUGCUAUGCAUCACAUGAUCUUGCGUGUGCAUAUGAAUUUUUUUGAAAUUACUACGAAACCCAAUAGUGGCAUCCGAGCCUAGGUUAUUUAUGUUGAUGUUAUAUGCACGAGUAGAACACAAGUGAGUUGUGGGCGAUAUAAGUCAUACUGCCUACCAGCAUGUCAUACUUUGGUUCGGCGGCAUCGUUGGACGAGACGACCCGGACCAACAUUACGCUUACGCUUACGCGAGACCGGUUCCCCCGACGUGCUUUGCACAUAGGUGGCUUGCGGGCGACUGUCUCUCCAACUUUAGUUGAACCAAGUGUGGCUACGCCCGGUCCUUGCGAAGGUUAAAACGGAGUCUAUUUGACAAACUAUCAUUGUGGUUUUGAUGUGUAGGUGAGAUUGGUUCUUGCUUAAGCCCGUAGCAGCCACGCAAAACUUGCAACAACAAAGUAGAGGACGUCUAACUUGUUUUUGCAGGGCAUGUUGUGAUGUGAUAUGGUCAAGGCAUGAUGCUGAAUUUUAUUGUAUGAGAUGACUAUGUUUUGUAACCGAGUUAUCGGCAACUGGCAGGAGCCAUAUGGUUGUCGCUUUAUUGUAUACAAUGCAAUCACGAUGUAAUGCUUUACUUUAUUACUAAACGGUAGUGAUAGUCGUGGAAGCAUAAGAUUGGCGAGACAACAAUGAUGCUACGAUGGAGAUCAAGGUGUCACGCCGGUGACGAUGGUGGUCACGACGGUGCUUCGGAGAUGGAGAUCACAAGCACAAGAUGAUGAUGGCCAUAUCAUAUCACUUAUAUUGAUUGCAUGUGAUGUUUAUCCUUUUAUGCAUCUUAUCUUGCUUUGAUUGACGGUAGCAUUAUAAGAUGAUCUCUCACUAAAUUAUCAAGAAGUGUUCUCCCAGAGUAUGCACCGUUGCCAAAGUUCAUCGUGCCCAGACACCACGUGAUGAUCGGGUGUGAUAAGCUCUACGUCCAUCUACAAUGGGUGCAUGCCAGUUUUUGCACACGCAGAAUACUCAGGUUAAACUUGACGAGCCUAGCAUAUGCAGAUAUGGCCUCGGAACACGGAGACCGAAAGGUCGAGCGUGAAUCAUAUAGUAGAUAUGAUCAACAUAAUGAUGUUCACCAUUGAAAACUACUCCAUCUCACGUGAUGAUCGGUUAUGGUUUAGUUGAUUUGGAUCACGUGAUCACUUAGAAGAUUAGAGGGAUGUCUAUCUAAGUGGGAGUUCUUAAAUAAUAUGAUUAAUUGAACUUUAAUUUAUCAUGAACUUAGUCCUGGUAGUAUUAGCAUAUCUAUGUUGUAGAUCAAUAGCUCGCGUUGUUGCUUUCAUAUGUUUAUUUUGAUAUGUUCCUAGAGAAAAUUGUGUUGAAAGAUGUUAGUAGCAAUGAUGCGGAUUGGAUCCGUGAUCUGAGGUUUAUCCUCAUUGCUGCACAGAAGAAUUAGGUCCUUGAUGCACCGCUAGGUGACAAACCUAUUGCAGGAACAGAUGCAGACGUUAUGAACGUUUGGCUAGCUCAAUAUGAUGACUACUUGAUAGUUUAAGUGCACCAUGCUUAACGGCUUAGAAUCGGGACUUCAAAGACGUUUUGAAGGUUAUGGACCAUAUGAGAUGUUCCAGGAGUUGAAGUUAAUAUUUCAAGCAAAUACCCGAGUUGAGAGAUAUGAAGUAUCCAACAAGUUCUAUAGCUAAAAUAUGGAGGAGAAUCGCUCAACUAGUGAGCAUGUGCUCAGAUUGUCUGGGUACUACAAUCGCUUGAAUCAAGUGGGAGUUAAUCUUCCAGAUAAGAUAGUGAUUGACAGAAUUCUCUAGUCACCAUCACCAAGUUAGUAGAACUUCGUGAUGAACUAUAAUAUGCAAGGGAUAACGGAAACAACUCCCAAGCUCUUCGUGAUGCUGAAAUCAACGAAGGUAGAAAUCAAGAAAAACAUCAAAUGUUGAUGGUUGACAAGACCACUAGUUUCAAAAAAAGGGCAAAGGGAAGAAGGGGAACUUCAAGAAGAAUGGCAAGCAAGUUGCUGCUCAAGUGAAGAAGCCCAAGUCUGGUCCUAAGCCUGAGACUAAGUGCUUCUACUGCAAAGGGACUGGUCACUGGAAGCGGAGCUACCCCAAGUGAUUGGCGGAUAAGAAGGAUGGCAAAGUGAACAUAAGUAUAUUUGAUAUACAUGUUAUUGAUGUGUACUUUACUAGUGUUUAUAGCAACCCCUCGGUAUUUGAUACUAGUUCAGUUGCUAAGAUUAGUAACUCGAAAUGGGAGUUGCAGAAUAAAUAGAGACUAGUUAAAGGUGAAGUGACGAUGUGUGUUGGAAGUGGUUCCAAGAUUGAUAUGAUCAUCAUCGCACACUCCCUAUAAUUUCGGGAUUAGUGUUGAACCUAAAUAAGUGUUAUUUGGUGUUUGUGUUGAGCAUGAAUAUGAUUUGAUCAUGUUUAUUGUAAUACGAUUAUUCAUUUAAGUAAGAGAAUAAAUUGUUGUUCUGUUUACAUGAAUAAAACCUCAUAUGGUUACACACCCAAUGAAAAUAGUUCGUUGGAUCUCGAUCGUAGUGAUACACAUAAUCAUAAUAUUGAAACCAAAAGAUGCAAAGUUAAUAAUGAUAGUGCAACUUAUUUGUGGCACUCCCGUUUAGGUCAUAUUGGUGUAAAACGCAUGAAGAAACUCCAUGCUGAUGGGCUUUUGGAAUCACUUGAUUAUGAAUCAGUUGAUGCUUGCGAACCAUGCCUCAUGGGCAAGAUGACUAAGACUCUGUUCUUCGGAACAAUGGAGCGAGCAACAGAUUUGUUGGAAAUCAUACAUACUGAUGUAUGUGGUCCGAUGAAUAUUGAGGCUCGCGACAGGUAUCAUUAUUUUCUAAUCUUCACAGAUGAUUUGAGCAGAUAUGAGUAUAUCUACUUGAUGAAACAUAAGUCUGAAACAUUUGAAAAGUUCAAAGAAUUUCAGAGUGAAGUGAAAAAUCAUCAUAGCAAGAAAAUAAAGUUUCUACGAUCUGAUCGUAGAGAAGAGUGUUUGAGUUACGAGUUUGGCCUUCAGUUAAAAACAAUGUGAAAUAGUUUCACUACUCAUGCCACCUGGAACACCACAAUGUAAUGGUGUGUCCGAACGUCAUAACCAUACUUUAUUAGAUAUGGUGCGAUCUAUGAUAUUUCUUACCGAUCUACCACUAUCGUUUCGGGGUUAUGCAUUAAAGACAGUUGCAUUCACGUUAAAAGGGCACCAUCAAAAUCCGUUGAGACGGCGCCUUAUGAACUUUGGUUUGGCAAGAAACCAAAGUUGUCGUUUCUGAAAGUUUGGGGCUGCGAUGCUUAUGUGAAAAAGCUUCAACCUGAUAAGCUCGAACCCAAAUCGGAGAAAUGUGUCUUCAUAGGAUAUCCAAAGGAAACUAUUGGAUACACCUUCUAUCACAGAUCCGAAGGCAAGACUUUUGUUGCUAAAUUUGGAAACUUUCUGGAAAAGGAGUUUCUCUCGAAAGAAGUGAGUGGGAGGAAAGUAGAAAACUUGAUAAGGUAAUUGUACCUUCUCCCUUAUUGGAAAGUAGUUCAUCACAGAAAUCUGUUCUUGUGACUACUACACCAAUUAGUGAGGAAGCUAAUGAUGAUGAUCAUGUAACUUCAGAUCAAGUUACUACUGAAUCUCGUAGGUAAACCAGAGUGAGAUCCGCACCAGAGUGGUACGGUAAUCCUGUUCUAGAAGUCAUGUUACUAGACCAUGACGAACUUGUGAACUAUGAGGAAGCGAUGAUGAGCCCAGAUUCUGCGAAAUGGUUUGAGGCCAUGAAAUCUGAGAUAUGAUCCAUGUAUGAGAACAAAGUAUGGACUUUGAUGGAUUUGCCCGAUGAUCGGCAAGCCAUAAAAAAUAAAUGGAUCUUCAAGAGGAAGACGGACGCUGAUAGUAGUGUUACUAUCUACAAAGCUAGAAUUAUCGCAAAAGGUUUUUCGACAAGUUCAAGGUGUUGACUACGAUGAGAGUUUCUCACUCGUAUCUAUGCUUGAGUCUGUCCGAAUCAUGUUAGUAAUUGCCGCAUUUUAUGAAAUCUGGCAAAUGGAUAAACAAAACUGCAUUCCUUAAAUGGAUUUAUUAAAGAAGAGUUGUAUAUGAUGCAACCAGAAGGUUUUGUCAAUCUGAAAGGUGCUAACAAAAUGUGCAAACUCCAGCGAUCCAUCUGUGGACUGGUGCAAGCAUCUCAGAGUUGGAAUAUACACUUUGAUGAGUUGAUCAAAGCAUAUAGUUUUAUACAGACUUGCGGUGAAGCCUGUAUUUACAAGAAAGUGAGUGGGAGCACUACAACAUUUCUGAUAAGUAUAUGUGAAUGACAUAUUGUUGAUCGGAAAUAAUGUAGAAUUAUUCUGUAAAGCAUAAAGGAGUGUUUGAAAGGAAUUUUUCAAAGAAAGACUUCGGUGAAGCUGCUUACAUAUUGAGCUUCAAGAUCUAUAGAGAUAGAUCAAGAUGCUUGAUAAGUUUUUUCAAUGAGUACAUACCUUGACAAGAUUUUGAAAUAGUUCAAAAUGGAGCAGUCAAAGAAAGAGUUCUUGUCUGUAUUACAAGGUGUGAAGUUGAGUAAGACUCAAAGCCCGACCACAGCAGAAGAUAGAAAGAGAAUGAAAGUCAUUCCCUAUGCCUCAGUCAUAGGUUCUAUAAAGUAUGUCAUGCUGUAUACCAGAUCUAUUGUAUACCCUGCACUGAUUAAGCAAGGAAGUACGAUAGUGAUCUAGGAGUAGAUCACUAGACAGCGGUCAGAAUAAUCCUUAGUGAAAUAAGGAUAUGUUUCUCGAUUAUGGACAUGACAAAAAGGUUCGUCGUAAAAAGUUACGUUGAUGCAAGUUUUGACACAGAUCUAGAUGACUCUAAGUCUCAAUCUAGAUACAUAUUGAAAGUGGGAGCAAUUAGCUAGAGUAGCUCCAUGCAGAGCAUUGUAGACAUAGAAUUCGCAAAAUACUUACGGAUCUGUAUGUGACAGACCCGUUGACUAAUAUUAUCUCACAAGCAAAACAUGAUCACACCUUAGUACCCUUUGGGUGUUGGUCACAUAUCGAUGUGGACUAUGGGUGUUAAUCACAUGGUGAUGUGAACUAUUGCUGUUAAAUCACAUGACGAUGUGAACUAGAUUAUUGACUCUAGUGCAAGUGGGAGACUGAAGGAAAUAUGCCCUAGAGGCAGUAAUAAAGUUAUUAUUUAUUUCCUUAUAUCAUGAUAAAUGUUUAUUAUUCAUGCUAGAAUUGUAUUAACCGGAAACAUAAUACAUGUGUGAAUACAUAGACAAACAGAGUGUCACUAGUAUGCCUCUACUUAACUAGCUCGUUAAUCAAAGAUGGUUAUGUUUCCUAACCAUGAAUAAAGAGUUGUUAUUUGAUUAACGAGGUCACAUCAUUAGUUGAAUGAUCUGAUUGACAUGACCCAUUCCAUUAGCUUAGCACCCGAUCGUUUAGUAUGUUGCUAUUGCUUUCUUCAUGACUUAUACAUGUUCCUAUAACUAUGAGAUUAUGCAACUCCCGUUUACCGGAGGAACACUUUGGGUACUACCAAACGUCACAACGUAACUGGGUAAUUAUAAAGGAGUACUACAGGUGUCUCCAAAGGUACAUGUUGGGUUGGCGUAUUUCGAGAUUAGGAUUUGUCACUCCGAUUGUCGGAGAGGUAUCUCUGGGCCCUCUCUGUAAUGCACAUCACAUAAGCCUUGCAAGGAUUACAACUAAUAUGUUAGUUGUGAGAUGAUGUAUUACGGAACGAGUAAAGAGACUUGCCGGUAACAAGAUUGAACUAGGUAUUGGAUACCGACGAUCGAAUCUCGGGCAAGUAACAUACCGAUGAUAAAGGGAACAACGUAUGUUGUUAUGCGGUCUGACCGAUAAAGAUCUUUGUAGAAUAUGUAGGAGCCAAUAUGGGCAUCCAGGUCCCGCUAUUGGUUAUUGACCGGAGACGUGUCUCAGUCAUGUCUACAUUGUUCUCGAACCCGUAGGGUCCGCACGCUUAAGGUUACGAUGACAGUUAUAUUAUGAGUUUAUGCAUUUUGAUGUACCGAAGGUUGUUCGGAGUCCCGAAUGUGAUCACGGACAUGAAGAGGAGUCUCGAAAUGGUCGAGACGUAAAGAUUGAUAUAUUGGAAGCCUAUGUUUGGAUAUCGGAAGUGUUCCGGGUGAAAUCGGGAUUUUACCGGAGUACCGGGAAGGUUACCGGAACCCCCCGGGAGCUAAAUGGGCCAUGAUGGGCCUUAGUGGAAAAGAGAAGAGGCAGCCCUACAUGGGCUGUGCGCCUCCCCCUUCCCCUAGUCCUGUUAGGACUAGGAGAGGUGGCCGGCCCCCUCUCUCUCUUUUCCCCCUCCGCGAAUCCUAUUCCAACUAGGAUUGGGGGGGGGGGGGAAUCCUACUCCCAGAGGGAGUAGGACUCUCCUGGCGCACCCCUUGUGGCUGGCCAGCCUCCCCCCUUUGGUCCUUUAUAUACUGAGGUAGAGGCACCCUAGAACACACAAGUUGAUCCACGUGAUCUAUUCCUUAGCCGUGUGCGGUGCCCCCAGCCACCAUAUUCCUCGAUAAUACUGUAGCGGAGUUUAGGCGAAGCCCUGCUGCUGUAGUGCAUCAAGAUCGUCACCACGCCGUCGUGCUGGCGGAACUCCUCCCCGACACUUUGCUGGAUCAGAGUCCAGGGAUCGUCAUCGAGCUGAACAUGUGCUCGAACUCGGAGGUGCCGUAGUUUCGGUACUUGAUCGGUUUUAUCGUGAAGACAUACGACUACUUCCUCUACGUCGUGUCAGCGCUUCCGCAGUCGGUCUGCGUUGGGUACGUAGACAACACUCUCCCCUCUCGUUGCUAUGCAUCACAUGAUCUUGCAUGUGCAUAGGAAUUUUUUUAAAAUUACUACGAAACCCAACAACCAUGAUCUCCAUCAUCGUGUCUUCAUGAACUCGUCUUGUCAACUAUUACUUCUACUACUAUGGCUAACGGUUUAGCAAUAAAGUAAAGUAAUUACAUGACGUUUAAGUUGACACGCAGGUCAUAAAUAAAUUAAGACAACUCCUAUGGCUCCUGCCGGUUGUCAUACUCAUCGACAUGCAAGUCGUGAUUCCUAUUAAAAGAACAUGAUUAAUCUCAUACAUCACAUAUAUCAUUCAUCACAUCCUUUUGGCCAUAUCACAUCACAAGGCAUAUGCUGCAAAAACAAGUUAGACGUCCUCUAAUUGUUGUUGCAAAUUUUUACAUGGCUGCUAUAGAUUUCUAGGAAGAAUGUUUCUUACCUACGCCAAAACCACAACGUGAUAUGCCAAUUUCUAUUUACCUUCAUAAGGACCCUUUUCAUCAAAUCCGAUCCGACUAAAGUGCGAGAGACAGACACCCGCUAGCCACCUUAUGCAAUUAGUGCAUGUCAGUCGGUGGAACCUGUCUCACGUAAGAGUACGUUGUUGGGGAACGUAGCAGAAAUUCAAAAAUUUUCCUACGCAACACCAAGAUCUAUCUAUGGAGAGACCAGCAACGAGUAGAAGGAGAGUGCAUCUACAUACCCUUGUAGAUCGCUAAGCGGAAGCGUUCAAAUGAACGGGGUUGAUGGAGUCGUACUCGUCGUGAUUCAGAUCACCGAUGAUCAAGUGCCGAACGGACGGCACCUCCGCGUUCAACACACGUACAGCCCGGUGACGUCUCCCACGCCUUGAUCCAGCAAGGAGAGAGGGAGAGGUUGAGGAAGACUCCAUCCAACAGCAGCACAACGGCGUGGUGGUGGUGGAGGAGCGUGGCAAUCCUGCAGGGCUUCGCCGAGCACCUACGGGAGAGGAGAUGUGUCACGGGAGGGAGAGGGAGGCAACCAAAGGCCUUAGGUAUGAUUGCUCCUCCUUUUCCCCACUAUAUAUAGGGCCAAGGGAGAGGGGGAGGGCGCAGCCUUGCCCCCUCCUCCAAGGAAGGGGUGCGGCUAAGGAUGGGGAGGAGUCCAUCCUCCCCAAGGCACCUCGGAGGUGCCUUCCCCUUUUAGGACUCUUCCCUUUUUUCUUUAUCUUGGCGCAUGGGCCUCUAGGGGCUGGUGUCCUUGGCCCAUGUAGGCCAAGGCGCACCCCCUACAGCCCAUGUGGCCCCCCGGGGCAGGUGGCCCCACCCGGUGGGCCCCCGGGACCCGUCCGGUGGUCCCGGUACAAUACCGAUGACCCCGAAACUUGUCCCGAUGGCCGAAACAGGACUUCCUAUAUAUAAAUCUUUACCUCCGGACCAUUCCGGAACUCCUCGUGACGUCCGGGAUCUCAUCCGGGACUCCGAACAACAUUCGGUAACCACAUACAAGCUUCCUUUAUAACCCUAGCGUCAUCGAACCUUAAGUGUGUAGACCCUACGGGUUCGGGAGACAUGCAGACAUGACCGAGAUGUUCUCUGGUCAAUAACCAACAGCGGGAUCUGGAUACCCAUGAUGGCUCCCACAUGUUCCACGAUGAUCUCAUCGGAUGAAACACGAUGUCAAGGACUUAAUCAAUCCCGUAUUCAAUUCCCUUUGUCUAGCGGUAUUUUACUUGCCCGAGAUUCGAUCGUCGGUAUCAAAUACCUUGUUCAAUCUCGUUAUCGGCAAGUCACUUUACUCGUUCCGUAACACAUCAUCCCGUGAUCAAAUCCUUGGUCACAUUGCGCAUAUGAUGAUGUCCUACCGAGUGGGCCCAGAGAUACCUCUCCGUUUACACGGAGUGACAAAUCCCAGUCUCGAUCCGCAUAAAACAAUAGAUACUUUCGGAGAUACCUGUAGUGCACCUUUAUAGUCACCCAGUUAUGUUGUGACGUUUGAUACACCCAAAGCACUCCUACGGUAUCCAGGAGUUACACGCUCUCAUGGUCAAAGGAAGAGAUACUUGACAUUGGCAAAGCUCUAGCAAACGAACUACACGAUCUUUGUGCUAGGCUUAGGAUUGGGUCUUGUCCAUCACAUCAUUCUCCUAAUGAUGUGAUCCCGUUAUCAACGACAUCCAAUGUCCAUAGCCAGGAAACCAUGACUAUCUGUUGAUCACAACGAGCUAGUCAACUAGAGGCUCACUAGGGACAUAUUGUGGUCUAUAUAUUCACACGUGUAUUACGAUUUCCGGAUAAUACAGUUAUAGCAUGAAUAAAAGACAAUUAUCAUGAACAAGGAAAUAUAAUAAUAACACUUUUAUUAUUGCCUCUAGGGCAUAUUUCCAACAGUCUCCCACUUGCACUAGAGUCAAUAAUCUAGUUCACAUCGCCAUGUGAUUAACACUCACAGGUCACAUCGCCAUGUGACUAAUACCCAAGAGUUUACUAGAGUCAGUAGUCUAGUUCACAUCACUAUGUGAUUAAUACUCAAUGAGUUUUAGGUUUGAUCAUGUUGCUUGUGAGAGAGGUUUUAGUCAACGGGUUUGAACCUUUCAGAUCCGUGUGUGCUUUACAAAUCUCCAUGUCAUCUCCUAGAUGCAGCUACCACGCUCUAUUUGGAGCUAUUCCAAACAACUGUUCUACUUGGAGCUAUUCUAAAUUGUUGCUCCAUUAUAUGUAUCCGGUCUCUCUACUCAGAGCUAUCCGGAUAGGUGUCAAGCUUGCAUCGUCGUAACCUUUACGACGAACUCUUUUACCACCUCCAUAAUCGAGAAAAUUCCUUAGUCCACUAGUUACUAAGGAUAACUUUGACCGCUGUCCUGUGAGCCAUUCUUGGAUCACUCUUGUACCCCUUAACUGACUCAUGGCAAGGCACACUUCAGGUGUGGUACACAGCAUAGCAUACUGAAGAGCCUACGUCUUAAGCAUAGGGGACGACCUUCGUCCUUUCUCUCUAUUCUGCCGUGGUCGAGCUUUAAGUCUUAACUUCGUACCUUACAACUCAGGCAAGAACUCCUUCUUUGACUGAUCCAUCUUGAACACCUUCAAGAUCAUGUCAAGGUAUGUGCUCAUUUGAAAGUAUUAUUAAGCAUUUUGAUCUAUCCUUAUAGAUCUUGAUGCUCAAUGUUCAAGUAGCUUAAUCCAGGUUUUCUAUUGAAAAACACCUUUCAAAUAACCCUAUAUGCUUUCUAGAAAUUCUACAUCAUCUCUGAUCAUCAAUAUGUCAACAACAUAUACUCAUCAGAAAUUCUAUAGUGCUCCCACUCACUUCUUUGGAAAUACAAGUUUCUCAUAAACUUUGUACAAACCCAAAAUCUUUGAUCAUCAUCAAAGCAUACAUUCCAACUCCGAGAUGCUCACUCCAGUCCUUAGAAGGAUCGCUGGAGCUAGCAUACCUUUUAGCAUCCUUAGGAUCAACAAAAACCUUUCUGAUUGUAUUGCAUACAACCUUUCCUUACGAAAACUAGUAAGGAAACUUGUCUUGACAUCCAUCUGCCAGAUUUCAUAAAUGCAGCUAAUGCUAACAUGAUUCCAACGGACUUUAAGCAUCGCUACAGAUGAGAAAAUCUCAUCGCAGUCAACUCCUUGAACUUGUGAAAAACUCUUCGCCACAAGUCGAGCUUUAUAGAUGGUGACAUUACCAUCCACGUCCGUCUUCUUCUUAAAAGAUCCAUUUAUCUCAAUGGAUUGCCAAUCAUCGGGCAAGUCCAUGAAAGUCCAUGCUUUGUUCUGAUAUAUGGAUACUAUCUCGGAUUUCAUGGCUUCUAACCAUUUGUCGGAAUUUGGGCCCACCAUCGCUUCUCCAUAGCUCGUAGGUUCAUUGUUGUCUAGCAACAUGACUUUUAAGACAGGAUCGCCGUACCACUCUGAAGUAGUACGCGUCCUUGUCGUCCUACGAGGUUCAGUAGUGACUUGAUCCGAAGUUUCAUGAUCAAUAUCAUAAGCUUCCACUUCAAUUGGUGUAGGUGCCACGGGAACAACUUCCUGUGCCGUGCUACACACUGGUUGAAGUGAUGGUUCAAUAACCUCAUCAAGUCUCCACCAUCCUCCCACUCAAUUCUUUCGAGAGAAACCUUUCCUCGAGAAAGGACCCGAUUCAAGAAACAAUCCAUAUUGCUUUCGGAUCUGAAUUAGGAGGUAUACCCAACUGUUUUGGGUGUCCUAUGAAGAUGCAUUUUAUCCGCUUUGGGUUUGAGCUUAAUCCUGAAACUUUUUCACAUAAGCGUCGCAGCCCCAAACUUUUGAGAAACGACAACUUAGGUUUCUCUAAACCAUAAUUCAUACGGUGUCAUCUCAACGGAAUUACGCGGUGCCCUAUUAAAAUGAGUGUGGUUGUCUCUAAUGCCUAACCCAUGAACGAUAGUGGUAAUUCGAUAAGAGAAAUCAUGGUACGCAUCAUAUCCAAUAGGGUGCAACUAUGAUGUUCGGACACACCAUCACACUAUGGUGUUCCAGGCGGUAUUAAUUGCGAAACAAUUUCCACAAUGUCUUAAUUGUGUGCCAAAACUCGUAACUCAGAUAUUCAUCUCUAUGAUCAUAUCAUAGACAUUUUAUCCUCUUGUCACAAUGAUCUGCUACUUCACUCUGAAAUUACUUGAACCAUUCAAUAAUUCAGACUUGUGUUUCAUCAAGUAAAUAUACUCAACAUCUACUCAAAUCAUCUGUGAAGUAAGAACAUAACGAUAUUCACUGCAUGCCUCAGCACUCAUUGGACUGCACACAUCAAAAUGUGUUGCUUCCAACAAGUUGCUAUCUUGUUCCAUCUUACUGAAACCGAGGCUUUUCAGUCAUCUUGCCCAUGUGGUAUGAUUUGCAUAUCUCAAGUGAUUCAAAAUCAAGUGAGUUCAAACGGUCCAUUUGCAUGGAGUUUCUUCAUGCAUAUAUACCAAUAGACAUGGUUCGCAUGUCUCAAACUUUUCAAAAACGAGUGAGUCCAAAGAUCCAUCAACAUGGAGCUUCUUCAUGCGUUUUUAUACCAAUAUGACUUACAUGGCAGUGCCACAAGUAGGUGGUAUUAUCAUUACUAUCUUAUAUCUUUUGGCAUGAAAAUGUGUAUCACUACGAUCGAGUUUCAAUAAACCAUUCAUUUUAGGUGCAAGACCAUUGAAGGUAUUAUUCAAAUAAACAGAGUAACCAUUAUUCUCCUUAAAUGAAUAACCGUAUUGCGAUAGACAUAAUCCAAUCAUGUCUAUGCUCAACGCAAACACCAAAUGAUAAUUAUUCUGGUUUAAUACUAAUCUUGAUGGUAGAGGGAGCGUGCGAUGUUUGAUCACAUCAAACUUGGAAACACUUCCAACACAUAUCGUCAGCUCACCUUUAGCUAGUCUCCGUUUAUUCCGUAGCUUUUAUUUCGAGUUACUAACACUUAGCAACCGAACCGGUAUCUAAUACCCUGGUGCUACUAGGAGUACUAGUAAAGUACACAUUAACAUAAUGUAUAUCCAAUAUACUUCUAUCGACCUUGCCAGCCUUCUCAUCUACCAAGUAUCCAGGGUAAUCCUGCUCCAGUGGUUGUUCCCCUUAUCACAGAAGCACUUAGUCUCGGGUUUGGGUUCAACCUCGGGUUUCUUCACUGGAGAAGCAGCUGAUUUGCCGUUUCAUGAAGUAUCCCUUCUUGCCCUUGCCCUUCUUGAAACUAGUGGUUUCACCAACCAUCAACAAUUGAUGCUCCUUCUUGAUUUCUACUUUCGCGAUGUCAAACAACGCGAAUACCUCAAGGAUCAUCAUCUCUAUCCUUGAUAUGUUAUAGUUCAUCACGAAGCUCUAGCAGCUUGGUGGCAAUGACUCUGGGGAAACAUCACUAUCUCAUCUGGAAGAUCAACUCCCACUCGAUUCAAGUGAUUGUUGCACUCAGACAAUCUGAGCACAAGCUCAACGAUUGAGCUUUUCUCCCUUAGUUUGCAGGCUAAGAAAAUCGUCGGAGGUCUUAUACCUCUUGACGUGGGCACGAGCCUGAAAUCCCAAUUUCAGCCCUCAAAACAUCUCAUAUGUUUCGCGAUGUUUCAAAAACAUCUUUGGUGCCUCAAUUCUAAACCGUUUAACUGAACUAUCACGUAGUUAUCAAAACGUGUAUGUUCGAUGUUCGAAACAUUCACAAACGAUGUUUGGGGUUCAGCACAUUGAGCGGUGCAUUAAGGACAUGAGCUUUCUACUGAUCGCAUAAUCGCUACUAUCAACUUUCAACUAUAUUUUCUCUAGGAACAUAUCUAAACAGUAGAACUAUAGCGCGAGCUACGACAUAAUUUGCAAAAGGUCUUUUGACUAUGUUCAGGAUAAUUAAGUUCAUCUUAUGAACUCCCACUCAGAUAGACAUCCCUCUAGUCAUCUAAGUGAUUACAUGAUCCGAGUCAAACUAGGCCGUGUCCGAUCAUCACGUGAGACGGACUAGUCAUCAUCGGUGAACAUCUUCAUGUUGAUCGUAUCUACUAUACGACUCAUGCUCGACCUUUCGGUCUCCGUGAUCCGAGGCCAUGUCUGUACAUGCUAGGCUCGUCAAGUUAACCCUAAGUGUUUUCGCUGUGUAAAACUGUCUUACACCCGUUGUAUGUGAACGUAAGAAUCUAUCACACCCGAUCAUCACGUGGUGCUUCGAAACGACGAACUGUAGCAACGGUGCACAGUUAGGGGAGAACACUUCUUGAAAUUUUAAUGAGGGAUCAUCUUAUUUACUACCGUCGUUCUAAGCAAAUAAGAUGUAUAAACAUGAUAAACAUCACAUGCAAUCAAAUAAGAGUAGUGACAUGAUAUGGCCAAUAUCAUAUAGCUCCUUUGAUCUUCAUCUUCGGGGCUCCAUGAUCAUCUUGUCACCGGCAUGACACCAUGAUCUCCAUCAUCAUGAUCUCCAUCAUCGUGUCUUCAUGAAGUUGUCACGCCAACGACUACUUCUACUUCUAUGUCUAACGCGUUUAGCAAUAAAGUAAAGUAAUUUACAUGGCGUUCUUCAAUGACACGCAGGUCAUACAAAAAAUAAAGACAACUCCUAUGGCUCCUGCCGGUUGUCAUACUCAUCGACAUGCAAGUCGUGAAUCCUAUUACAAGAACAUGAUCAAUAUCAUACAUUACAUAUAUCAUUCAUCACAUCCUUUUGGCCAUAUCACAUCACAUAGCAUACCCUGCAAAAACAAGUUAGACGUCCUCUAAUUGUUGUUUGCAUGUUUUACGUGGCUGCUAUGGGUUUCUAGCAAGAACGUUUCUUACCUACGCAAAGACCACAACGUGAUAUGCCAAUUGCUAUUUACCCUUCAUAAGGACCCUUUUCAUCGAAUCCGAUCCGACUAAAGUAGGAGAGACAGACACCCGCUAGCCACCUUAUGCAUCUAGUGCAUGUCAGUCGGUGGAACCAGUCUCACGUAAGAGUACGUGUAAGGUCGGUCCGGGCCGCUUCAUCCCACGAUGCCGCCGAAUCAAGAUAAGACUAGUAGCGGCAAGCAUAUUGAACAAAAUCAACGCCCACAACUACUUUGUGUUCUACUCGUGCAUAGAAUCUACGCAAUAGACCUAGCUCAUGAUGCCACUGUUGGGGAACGUAGCAGAAAUUCAAAAAUUUUCCUACGAAACACCAAGAUCUAUCUAUGGAGAGACCAGCAACGAGUAGAAAGGGAGAGUGCAUCUACAUACCCUUGUAGAUCGCUAAGCGGAAGCGUUCAAGUGAACGGGGUUGAUGGAGUCGUACUCGUCGUGAUUCAGAUCACCGAUGAUCAAGUGCCGAACGGACGGCACCUCCGCGUUCAACACACGUACAGCCCGGUGACGUCUCCCACGCCUUGAUCCAGCAAGGAGAGAGGGAGAGGUUGAGGAAGACUCCAUCCAACAGCAGCACAACGGCGUGGUGGUGGUGGAGGAGCGUGGCAAUCCUGCAGGGCUUCGCCGAGCACCUACGGGAGAGGAGAUGUGUCACGGGAGGGAGAGGGAGGCAACCAAAGGCCUUAGGUAUGAUUGCUCCUCCUUUUCCCCACUAUAUAUAGGGCCAAGGGAGAGGGGGAGGGCGCAGCCUUGCCCCCUCCUCCAAGGAAGGGGUGCGGCUAAGGAUGGGGAGGAGUCCAUCCUCCCCAAGGCACCUCGGAGGUGCCUUCCCCUUUUAGGACUCUUCCCUUUUUUCUUUAUCUUGGCGCAUGGGCCUCUAGGGGCUGGUGUCCUUGGCCCAUGUAGGCCAAGGCGCACCCCCUACAGCCCAUGUGGCCCCCCGGGGCAGGUGGCCCCACCCGGUGGGCCCUCGGGACCCCUCCGGUGGUCCCGGUACAAUACCGAUGACCCCGAAACUUGUCCCGAUGGCCGAAACAGGACUUCCUAUAUAUAAAUCUUUACCUCCGGACCAUUCCGGAACUCCUCGUGACGUCCGGGAUCUCAUCCGGGACUCCGAACAACAUUCGGUAACCACAUACAAGCUUCCUUUAUAACCCUAGCGUCAUCGAACCUUAAGUGUGUAGACCCUACGGGUUCGGGAGACAUGCAGACAUGACCGAGAUGUUCUCUGGUCAAUAACCAACAGCGGGAUCUGGAUACCCAUGAUGGCUCCCACAUGUUCCACGAUGAUCUCAUCGGAUGAAACACGAUGUCAAGGACUUAAUCAAUCCCGUAUUCAAUUCCCUUUGUCUAGCGGUAUUUUACUUGCCCGAGAUUCGAUCGUCGGUAUCAAAUACCUUGUUCAAUCUCGUUAUCGGCAAGUCACUUUACUCGUUCCGUAACACAUCAUCCCGUGAUCAAAUCCUUGGUCACAUUGCGCAUAUGAUGAUGUCCUACCGAGUGGGCCCAGAGAUACCUCUCCGUUUACACGGAGUGACAAAUCCCAGUCUCGAUCCGCAUAAAACAAUAGAUACUUUCGGAGAUACCUGUAGUGCACCUUUAUAGUCACCCAGUUACGUUGUGACGUUUGAUACACCCAAAGCACUCCUACGGUAUCCAGGAGUUAUACGAUCUCAUGGUCAAAGGAAGAGAUACUUGACAUUGGCAAAGCUCUAGCAAAUGAACUACACGAUCUUUUGUGCUAGUCUUAGGAUUGGGUCUUGUCCAUCACAUCAUUCUCCUAAUGAUGUGAUCCCGUUAUCAACGACAUCCAAUGUCCAUAGCCAGGAAACCAUGACUAUCUGUUGAUCACAACGAGCUAGUCAACUAGAGGCUCACUAGGGACAUAUUGUGGUCUAUAUAUUCACACGUGUAUUACGAUUUCCGGAUAAUACAGUUAUAGCAUGAAUAAAAGACAAUUAUCAUGAACAAGGAAAUAUAAUAAUAACACUUUUAUUAUUGCCUCUAGGGCAUAUUUCCAACAUACGUGUAAGGUCGGUCCGGGCCGCUUCAUCCCAUGAUGCUGCCGAAUCAAGAUAAGACUAGUAACAGCAAGUAAAUUGACAAAAUCGACGCCCACAACAACUUGUGUUCUACUCGUGCAUAGAAACUACGCAUAGACCUAGCUCAUGAUGCCACUGUUGGGGAUCAUAGUAGAAAUUUAAAAAUUUCUACGCAUCACCAAGAUCAAUCUAUGGAGUAAUCUAGCAACGAGGGGAAGGUGAGUGCAUCUACAUACUCUUGUAGAUUGCUAAGCGGAAGCGUUGCAAGAACGCGGAUGAAGGAGUCGUACUCGCAGCGAUUCAGAUCGCGGUUGAUUCCGAUCUAAGCGCCGAACAACGGCGCCUCCGCGUUCAACACACGUGUAGACCGGUGACGUCUCCCACGCCUUGAUCUAGCAAGGGGAGAAGGAGAGGUUGGGGAAUACCCCGUCCAGCAGCAGCACGACGGCGUGGUGGUGAAGGAGGAUCGUGACAAUCCCCCAGGGCUUCGCCAAGCACCGCAGGAGAGGAGGAGGACUUGGGAGAAGGGGAGGGCUGCGCCAGAACUUGGGUGCGGCUGCCCUCCCACCCCCACACAUAUAUAUAGGGGCAAGGGAGAGGGAGGCCGGACCCCUCAGAUCCAAUCUGAGGAGGGUCAGCGGCCAUGGGGGUUGCCUUGUCCCCCAAGGCAAGGGGGCGCCCCCCUUUAGGGUUCCCCCAAACCCUAGGCGCAUGGGCCCUAGGGGGGAGGCGCCCAGCCCACUAAGGGGCUGGUCCCUCUCCACACACAGCCCAUAGGGCCCUCCGGGGCAGGUGGACCCUCCCGUUGGACCCCCGGAACCCCUUCGGUGGUCCCGGUACAAUACCGAUAACCCCCUGAAUUAUUACGGUGACCGUAUGAUGACUUCCCAUAUAUAAAUCUUUACCUCCGGACCAUUCCGGAACUCCUCGUGACGUCCGGGAUCUCAUCCGGGACUCCGAACAACAUUCGGUAACCACAUACAUCUAUUCCCUAUAACCCUAGCAUCGUCGAACCUUAAGUGUGUAGACCCUACGGGCUCGGGAGUCAUGCAGACAUGGCCGAGACAACUCUCCGGUCAAUAACCAACAACAAGAUCUGGAUACCCAUGUUGGCUCCCACAUGCUCCACGAUGAUCUCAUCGGAUGAACCACGAUGUCAAGGAUUCAAUCAAUCCCGUAUACAAUUCCCUUUGUCUAUCGGUACAAUACUUGCCCGAGAUUCGAUCGUCGGUAUCCCGAUACCUUGUUCAAUCUCGUCACCGGAAAGUCCCUUUACUCAUUCCGUAACACAUCAUCCCGUGAUCAACUCCUUGGUCACAUUGUGCACAUUAUGAUGAUGUCCUACCGAGUGGGCCCAGAGAUACCUCUCCGUUACACGGAGUGACAAAUCCCAGUCUCGAUUCAUGCCAACCCAACAGACACUUUCGGAGAUACCCGUAGUGCACCUUUAUAGCCACCCAGUUAUGUUGUGACGUUUGGCACACCCAAAGCACUCCUACGGUAUCCGGGAGUUGCACAAUCUCAUGGUCUAAGGAAAUGAUACUUGACAUUAGAAAAGCUUUAGCAUACGAACUACAUGAUCUUGUGCUAGGCUUAGGAUUGGGUCUUGUCCAUCACAUCAUUCUCCUAAUGAUGUGAUCCCGUUAUCAACGACAUCCAAUAUCCAUGGUCAGGAAACCGUAACCAUCUAUUGAUCAACGAGCUAGUCAACUAGAGGCUUACUAGGGACAUGGUGUUGUCUAUGUAUCCACACAUGUAUCUGAGUUUCCUAUCAAUACAAUUCUAGCAUGGAUAAUAAAUGAUUAUCAUGAACAAUGAAAUAUAAUAUAAUAAUAACUAAUUUAUUAUUGCCUCUAGGGCAUAUUUCCAACACAUUCUAGGGUAGGCACUUUUGCAUGUAGUUGUAAUGUUUCCGGUGGCCGUCUUCGUCAUCUUCCUCGUCACCUGCCAUUGCCACAAUUGACACGGGAGCUGGCGCGAAAUUAGGGUUUAGGGAUGGGGCGGCGUGCUGCAGCCUCGGGGGCUUGGACGUCGGAAUGACGAUAUCCGUGUAGAGGUCGCCGAACUCGUCGUCGUCCUCCAUGGCGAAGGCGAAAUCGGGCGGGGGAGGCCGAAGGCGGCGGGCGAUGGGAGUGAGGGUCGGGGAGUCGCCAAGUUCGUUUUAGAGCUCUGCCUAUUAGGAGAAGGGAUCUUGGUUUUAGGGGUUCCUUGCUUACUUUUACUGGAAAAAAAUAACAAUGAGAUUUUCUUUUCCGAACGAUUUGAAGAUUGCUCACCAUGUCUGCUGUGCGGUAAAAAAAAUUGAGGGUUUUCUAAUAUCUCAGAUCAGGACAUAUAACAUGUAAUCCGGCACUCGUCAAUUCACCACAUUGUGUACCGGUUCUCAAACUUGUGUUGUUAUUGUUGUUGAUCUAACCGAGUGCGUUUUUGCUCAGUUGUACGUGCAGGAGGUGGCGUCUGGCCCUAUUUUGUUCAGCCAAAUGAAUUGAAACAUCAAAAGUAAAAGAAAAUGUAGUUUGUUUGGUUGGAUUAAAAUGGGUCGCCAGCUACCCUAAACAAUAGACAUUUGCACCCCUAGUUAAACAUAGAGAAACAAGUAAAAUUCACACAAAAACAUAGAUUUUCUAUGAGACGCCCCAAAUGAUAUCCACCAAAAAGCGCACUCAAACUUCCUUUUGCAACAUUUAAAAGUCGCAAUCCUUACAUCAUCGUGAUGUUCUCAUCCUCGAUACAGCGGCUGCAUUCUUCUCUAUCAAUGUCGGAGUUCAAGUUCAUUGUGACGUCAACUUACAUACCAAGUGACAAAUAAAGUUAUUGUGAAGUUGGUGUUGGGUAGAGUGUGAAUUUGCAAGUUUGAAAGUUUGCUACUCCCUCCGUCCCAUAAUGUAGUGUAGUGUAAAAACACUCUUAUAUUAUAAGACGAAGGAAGUAUUAGUAUAAACAACACUAUUAUAUUAUGGGAUGGAAAAAGUAUUUAUUAGUCACACUUCACCUGUCAUUAAAUACAUAUGUGAAUUUACGUGUAAAUUUUUAAAAUUUGGACGUAGGGCGAAAGCUCGCCCGCAUGUGCCAUGCACUAUCUUUACCGAUGUAUUUUCUGUUACUAAAGUUGUAUUAAAUCAGCGUCAAUUAAUAUGAAUUAGAAGGAGUAGCUUACGUCAGUCUUAAAUUUGGCACCGUUAUGCCAGCCAGUUCCGCUCGAGCGACACCGUUACGUACCGGACAGUUAACUCGAGUCACUGCCUGAAUUUGGCGUAUUGGCGUAUUCUCCACGUGAUCUGGUUUGGUUCGGCCAAUGACGUAACGCCAAAGCUCAUCAAGUGAUGCAUCUAAAAGAUCUGUAGCUUGUAACCACCAGCGCUCGCCAGGUGAAAAGAAAGGUCAGCAUCUGUGGGCUGCUUUGGCAGGAAACUUGGUUGUCUCUUGCUAUCUCGGAUGCAAGCUCAUGUCUUCUCUGCGGUGUGUGUGGUCAGUGCAUCUCCAACGACAGCUCAUAAAUUUUCUCCGGCAUUUAGCCGCAGACAUAAAGAUCAGUCCAUGGGCACAAAUGCGGAAGGCUGCCAUCUAAUGCUGUCCGCAUACAUUUCAAACACUUUGGCAACAAACCGAAAGAAAUCCGUACAAACACGGUGGAUUUCAUACAUACCGGACAAUAUUCAUGCAAACACGGCGGAUUUUCGUUAGAUUUUGAACAUUCAAAGCAAAAAAGAAACCGUUCCGACCCGACCCUAAACCUAUCCUACGGCGGCGGCCGGCACCCAACCCCUUGUCGUCCUUCAUCCGUCGUCUCCAUGACCACCGACGAUCAGACCGAUAAAGUGAAGCUACGGUCUCCGGCGAGGAAGAGUAGACCACGGGAGACGGACCAGCCCACAUAGGGCACAAAGGCCCUGCCGCCUCCCGUGCCCUACUCAUCCUCGGAGGAGUCCGUGCCUUGUCCAUCGCCAGUGGACGUAAGGUCCACAAUGGAAAUGGUGGUGCCCGCGCUGUCGUCGUCCCACCGGGCCGCCGGAUGGUUCGGUGACGACUCGUAGCAGGCGCAACUGGCGUUGUUCUCCUCUAUGAUCGCCCAGAGCUGCGCCACGGCGGUGGCCGCUUCCUGGCGAGCGACGGCUUGAGCGUGGAUGGCAUCGUAGAUGGCACACUACUCCGCGACGAAGUUGGGGUUCGCCACAACCAUUGCCACCACGGCCUCCUUGCUCACGCGCUCGCCGACAUAGGCGCAGGCUGCCCCUUCGCGAUGGCGGUGUUAUAGUGUGUAUGCGCAUGCUUCAUUAUGAAGCCGACGUGCACAGGCGGGGCCCCGGGGCGGUGUCGUCAGAGCCCGUCUACAUCAUGGUGUCGUCCUCGUUGUCGGAGACCUCGGGCGAGCUGGCCGGCAAGCUGGACUUGAUCCGCCUGGCACGGCGGCUCUGCCAGGCAGUGGCAUGGGCGGCCACCGCGUGCUUCAUCUCAGUGGAAAGGCUCUCCCGCAAAGUUUCGCCGCCUGCAGUCAUGGCGGAUGCAGUGCAAGGGAAGAGGAUGUGGAGCAGGCUUGUGUUGUGGCGUGGAGCUAGUCGGGUGUGGUCGUCUUUAAAUAGCGGAUUCCCGUGAGGCCAGGCAUCCGGGUGCGUCAAUGCACGACGCCAGAGUGGGUUUCUCGGUCGACAAGCCUGCCUAAUGGCGGCAUGCGGACGGACAUACAUUCAACGAGCAUGGUAGAUAUCCGCCCCGUCCGGUCCAGUAAUGCGUCUCCGGCAUUGAACAAACGCGGACACCGAAGAGGUGAAGAGGCAAUGAGAGGUCGCGUCCGUCCUGAGUCGUCUUCAAUGUGGAGCGGCACGCUCUACAGUGGCACGAAAGCAAGCAGCUGGUGCCGGGCGGGAACGCGUGCGGGAGAGGAAGGAGGGGUUUGGAGUGUGCUAGGGCGAUUAGAAGCGGGCAUGGCAGCAGUCCGAACUCUCGCAAAGCCCCUCAUGGUUGUCUCCGUUUGCAGAAGAAAAUGCGUGUACAAGCCCGCGUUAAAUGGCUUCCGCUAUCCAGACAACGCGGUUUGGAUAUACAUGGACGGUUUGAAGGUCGCCGUUGAAGAUGGCCUUUUGGUCAGCGAGUGUUGCCCUCCGUGGAUAAUUGUGACAGUUUUAGUCUAGAUUUAAGUAUAUUAAUCGGGCAGCUCUCUUUCCCUUUUUCUGAAUUAAUCAAGAUCCUUCAAGGCCGACAUAAAAAGAAAAUCACCCCCAAGCAGCAGAUUCAACAAAAACACUAUCACAAAGCAUACAUCCAGAACCGUGAAUUAUUUGUGAAGAACAAAUAUCAUAACAAGGUACUCCCUCAAGUUUUGAAUUAUAAGAUGUUCUAAUUUUUUCCUAAAUCGCAUGUAUAGACGCAUUUUAGCGUACUUGUUCACUCAUUUCAGUCCGUACAUAAUCCAUAUUAAAAUAUCCAAAACAUCUUAUAAUUUGGAACAAGGUGAUAGUAGCUAGCUAUUACUUCCUCCAUUCCUAAAUAUAGGUCUUUCUAGAGAUUUCAACAGAUGACUACAUGCGAUGCAAAAUAAGUGAAUCUAGACUCUAAGAUAUGUCUAUAUACAUCUUUAUAUGGUAGUUCAUUUGAAAUCUCGAAAAAGACUUAUAUUUAGGAACGGAGGGAGUAAUAUUUUGUAGAGAAAAGAUGGAGAGUUGUGUCAGCAACAAACACAUUGAACUAUUGAAGAUACGUCACAUCCAGCCAGCUCAAAACAAAACAAAAAUGUUGGAAUCCGCUGAUCCACCCCCACCCAACGAUAUGCAUGUUCAUCAGACGAUUCACAUACGUCGCAUACGGAGUAUUAUUACAAAGUCCAGCCUGGUACCGGGGCUAGCCAUACUAGCCCAGCACAGAGAAAACCACAUGAAUUCUGCGGCAACAAACGCGUCGCGGCGCCUUAACAACAGGCUAGAAGUCAAAUGGGGAGGCUCAC